rnacentral:rRNA from 1 species
AACGAACGCUGGCGGCAGGCUUAACACAUGCAAGUCGAACGCCCCGCAAGGGGAGUGGCAGACGGGUGAGUAACGCGUGGGAAUCUACCUAGUUCUACGGAACAACUGAGGGAAACUUCAGCUAAUACCGUAUACGCCCUAAGGGGGAAAGAUUUAUCGGAAUUAGAUGAGCCCGCGUUGGAUUAGCUAGUUGGUGGGGUAAUGGCCUACCAAGGCGACGAUCCAUAGCUGGUCUGAGAGGACGAUCAGCCUCACUGGGACUGAGACACGGCCCAGACUCCUACGGGAGGCAGCAGUGGGGAAUAUUGGGCAAUGGGCGCAAGCCUGAUCCAGCCAUGCCGCGUGAGUGAUGAAGGCCUUAGGGUUGUAAAGCUCUUUCAGUGGGGAAGAUAACGACGGUACCCACAGAAGAAGCCCCGGCUAACUUCGUGCCAGCCGCCGCCGUAAUAC